GAUGAACGCUGGCGGCGUGCCUAAUACAUGCAAGUCGAGCGAACGGACGAGAAGCUUGCUUCUCUGAUGUUAGCGGCGGACGGGUGAGUAACACGUGGAUAACCUACCUAUAAGACUGGGAUAACUUCGGGAAACCGUAGCUAAUACCGGAUAAUAUUUUGAACCGCAUGGUUCAAAAGUGAAAGACGGUCUUGCUGUCACUUAUAGAUGGAUCCGCGCUGCAUUAGCUAGUUGGUAAGGUAACGGCUUACCAAGGCAACGAUGCAUAGCCGACCUGAGAGGGUGAUCCGCCACCCUGGAACUGAGAAACGGUCCCGACCUCUAACGGGAGGCGCCGGAGGGGAUUCUUCGGCAUGGGCCGAAACCUGGCGGAGCCAAGGCGGCGUAGGUAUGAAAGUUCUUCGAUUCGUAAAAUCCGGUAUUAGGGAAGAACAUAUGUGUAAGUAACUGUGCACAUCUUGACGGUACAUAAUCAGAAAGCCACGGCUAACUACGUG
rnacentral:rRNA from 1 species